rnacentral:rRNA from 1 species
AACUAACGCUGGCGGCGUGCCUAACACAUGCAAGUCGUACGAGAAAGUCGGCUUCGGCUGAUGAGUAAAGUGGCGCACGGGUGAGUAACGCGUGGAUAAUCUGCCCUUGAGUGUGGAAUAACGUACCGAAAGGUGCGCUAAUACCGCAUAAUGCCUGGCAACACAAGUUGUCCGGCCAAAGAAGGCCUCUGUUUACAAGCUUUUGCUCAAGGAUGAGUCCGCGUACCAUUAGCUAGUUGGUGGGGUAACGGCCUACCAAGGCUACGAUGGUUAGCUGGUCUGAGAGGAUGAUCAGCCACACUGGAACUGAGACACGGCCCAGACUCCUACGGGAGGCAGCAGUGAGGAAUUUUCCGCAAUGGGCGCAAGCCUGACGGAGCGACGCCGCGUGAGGGAUGACAGCUUUCGGGUUGUAAACCUCUUUUAUUAAGGAAAAGAUCUAUAUGCUAAUAUCAUGUAGAUUUGAUGGUACUUAUUGAAUAAGCCCCGGCUAACG